GUUACAGCAUGUGAGGCAGAGUUAGGGUUUUUCGAUCCGCACUCCAUUUCAGAAGGAGAUUGCUUUAAUCUCUUUGAUGCUCUCCAAGAACUCUAAUCUCUCUCAGUUUAUCAUACCCAAAAUAAGAAAGAAAUAAAAAGAAAAAAAGGAAAAUGUUUCUUCGUCUCUCUCUAUCUCUCUCUCUCACUCUCGGUCGGUCGCUGAGUUGAUUAGUUUCCCUUUCAGUUCCAAUUUCAAUUCAAUUCAAUGAUCCAUUUCCAUUCAUUCAUUCUUUCGCUUUCUGGCUCUCUCUUAACUCAAAGAGGCAGUGACGAUGGUAGCGGAGUGCGGAACUAAAGGCUCCAUCGUCGUGAAGCAAUGCUCGCCGGUGGCGGGGCAACCCCACCGCGGUGGAUCCUGUUGCAGCCAUCCAUGGCUGCGUUGGUUUGCGACGGCCUGGCCUCGUGUUGUAUCAAAUCUGAGCCUCCACAACCGAAACCCUAACCGGUUCUGUUUCUAUUUGGCGGCGUGCUGUUAAUGCUGUGUUUGGUAGAUACAUGUGGAGGAAGAGAUGUGAAGUGUGUUUUCCACCGAAUUCCUGCACUCUCACUCUCUUACUCCACAUGUCAUCUAACAAACACAACGUUAAUCUGAUCGAUUCUUUUUGCUUCAAUUUUCAGCCCUAAGAUUAUGCCUUUUCAAGUUUUCCCCAUUUUUUUGUCCCCGAAAGAUGGUAUUUUUUAUUUACAUUCCAGUUUUGCCAAGUUGUGUUGUGUUAAAUGAUUGGGGUUUUGUUAAUUUGUGUUAUUUGCUUCUCUGUCUACUUAUUUAUUAUUAAAGGCUUCAGCUUAGGUGGCUUUACUCAAAGGUUUGUAUCAAAACAUCACUUGAUUUAUAUAUAGUGUUAUAGUUCUAGAUGAUGUUCAUUCAUUUUUGUAUUAUUGCACAAGACAUGAAACGGGUGUUUUUAUAUUGUUGCCAUAGAUGUAUCUUUUGAUAAAUAAGAUUCUACUGUCUUGUGAUACUGCUGCUAUCGUUUAUGAGUUUACGAGGAUGAUCACUUUUGUUGAUAUGCUUUGUCCCUUGUUUACAGGAUAUUGCUUCAAUUUCUGUUUUACUUCACCUUUUUUUGUGAGAGAUGUUAUUACUUAUACCUAUAUGCUAUUAUUAAAAGCUGUUAGCCUUGGCUGUUAUAGUCGCUCAUUCUUGAUCAAGACUAUCAGUUACAAUAAGAGCUUCAUAUUGACUCUAGCUUCUAUAUGUUAUGGUUCAGAAUAUUAAACACUGUUCAGUUUUCUCUCAAUUUCUAUUUUAUUACUUUCACAUGGUAUCAAGAGCUUCAAUGAUCCAUGGCUGACAACACAAAGUCUGCAAGUUUUGCUGAUAGCACAGCAAUGGUUCUGCAAACUUCGCCUACCAUCAUCAACGCUUCUGAAGGAAUUUUUUCUUUUAUAAAAUAUUAAAAAAUGUAAUUUCCAAAACAAUUAAAAAGACAUUAUUUUCAGGAUUAACUUUUUUUUUGUUUUGUUUUGGGAAUUACAUUUUUUUGUUUUUAUAAAAGAAAAAGUUCCUUCACAUUUUUUAACAUGAAGACACCUUGCUACCUCCUCACAAUUUUUUUUCUCUCUCCAGAUUUACCAGGAUAAGUUCGUUAUUGAGUUGCUUAUGUUCUGGCCAACGCCAUUCCGAUGAAGAUGUGGAAAUUAUACACGGGAUGGAAUAAACGGAACAUCAAAACAUGGGAACGAACAAAAAGCAUUGGGCUUUGGUUGGACAAUUUUAAUGAAGCUUACUAAGUUCAGAGUGAAAAUUGCAAUCCAUUUGGGUAAAGCAUCAAGAGAGUCAUGUUUUCUUCUAGGUGUGUUCAUAUAGUGAAGGAGACAUGGGGGGUUGAAGUGGGAGACAUGCAAUGCACUAUACCCGUUACACUUGGGCUCUCGGGACAAAGUGUUGAGGCAUCACAUUUGGUUCAUAAGAAGUCUUCAUGGUACAAACUUCUUGCCUCCAUUGAUUUUCAUGAAAAAUUUUCAAUUGAGAUAACGGAUCAAAGAACUGACAUGAACAAUUCACUUGGGCUUGAUUGAGGUUCAGCUGCACAUCAAAGAAGCUGUUUCAGCUGCACUAAGUGAACCUGGUAAAGUAAAUAGAAGGACACAUUUAAGGUUUCUUGUAUCCACAUUAAAUUGGGACACAUGGCCUUAUUGUGACAUCAUUGACAUGAGUUACUACAUCAGGAUUAUGUUUGUCAAGACUGGAUGAUGUUUAUCUGAAUGUAUAUGUAAAAAUAUUUUUAUACUGAUAAUAAAUUAAAAUUAUAUUAUUUUUAUGCUGACAAAAAAAAAAUUGAUAAUUGUUUGCUUUGCUUUAUUUUAUUAGCACAAGAAAAUAUAUAAUUAUUACGAUGUGUAACCGGAGAUUAAUGGAUUGGGCUUGUAAGCCUGACCCAAACGUCAAGAGGAGAUGGUCUCCGAUUUGGUUUGUGAUUGGGAGCUGCCAUCUGACUUGUGUGUAUAAUGAAAUUGGGGGUGGUACUUGCAAACAUAUUUUGAUGCCUAAAUCAGCAAGGGGUUAAGCAGGUUUUGAAUGUAUUGGAACUUAAAGAUACAUGAGGGGUGUCAGUGUAUUUAUAGUGGUGAACCAAUAAUCAUCGUUAGAGUAGUUCCACUUUUUAAGGUGAAUAAUCGUCUCUUUAUCUUAGUAUAGUUGAGAUAUGGCUCUUGGAAGUGGGUUGAGAGAUUUUAGGGGCACCUACAUAUUUAAAUAAGUGUUAUCUGCCAACUAUCUUUCGAAUCCGAUUUCUUGGGAGUGAGGUCUGUGUUGAAUCCGACCUCUUCUAAGGAGGUCGGUUGGUAGCGAAGGCCUAUCUUGGGAUUGGGAUGUUUUGGUUUAUUUGA